rnacentral:rRNA from 1 species
GACGAACGCUGGCGGCGUGCUUAACACAUGCAAGUCGAGCGGUAAGGCCCUUUCGGGGUACGACGAGCGGCGAACGGGUGAGUAACACGUGGGUGACCUGCCCUUAGCUCUGGGAUAAGCCUGGGAAACUGGGUCUAAUACCGGAUAUGACUCCAUAACGCAUGUUGUGGGGUGGAAAGCCUUGUGCGGCUAGGGAUGGGCCCGCGGCCUAUCAGCUUGUUGGUGGGGUGAUGGCCACCAAGGCGACGACGGGUAGCCGGCCCGUGAGAGGGCGACCGG